rnacentral:rRNA from 1 species
CGGCUCUCUUCGGAGGGAGCGGCGGACGGGUGAGUAACGCGUGGGAAUAUGCCCAAAGGUACGGAACAACAGCUGGAAACGGCUGCUAAUACCGUAUGUGCCCUACGGGGGAAAGAUUUAUCGCCUUUGGAUUAGCCCGCGUUGGAUUAGGUAGUUGGUGAGGUAAUGGCUCACCAAGCCUACGAUCCAUAGCUGGUUUGAGAGGAUGAUCAGCCACACUGGGACUGAGACACGGCCCAG